rnacentral:rRNA from 1 species
GACGAACGCUGGCGGCGUGCUUAACACAUGCAAGUCGAACGGAAAGGCCCUGCUUUUGUGGGGUGCUCGAGUGGCGAACGGGUGAGUAACACGUGAGUAACCUGCCCUUGACUUUGGGAUAACUUCAGGAAACUGGGGCUAAUACCGGAUAGGAUCUCCUGCUGCAUGGUGGGGGUUGGAAAGUUUCGGCGGUUGGGGAUGGACUCGCGGCCUAUCAGCUGGUUGGUGGGGUAGUGGCUUACCAAGGCUUUGACGGGUAGCCGGCCUGAGAGGGUGACCGGCCACAUUGGGACUGAGAUACGGCCCAGACGCCUACGGGAGGCAGCAGUGGGGAAUAUUGCACAAUGGGCGGACGUCUGAUGCAGCAACGCCGCGUGCGGGAUGACGGCCUUCGGGUUGUAAACCGCUUUCGCAUGUGACGAAGCGUGAGUGACGGUAAUGGGUAAAGAAGCACCGGCUAACUACGUG